UUAGGGUUUGAUCAUGGCUCAGGAUGAACGCUGGCGGCGUGCUUAACACAUGCAAGUCGAACGAUGAAGGGAGCUUGCUCCUGGAUUAGUGGCGAACGGGUGAGUAACACGUGAGUAACCUGCCCUUGACUCUGGGAUAAGCCUGGGAAACUGGGUCUAAUACCGGAUAUGACUGACCGUCGCAUGGUGGUUGGUGGAAAGCUUUUGUGGUUUUGGAUGGACUCGCGGCCUAUCAGCUUGUUGGUGGGGUAAUGGCCUACCAAGGCGACGACGGGUAGCCGGCCUGAGAGGGUGACCGGCCACACUGGGACUGAGACACGGCCCAGACUCCUACGGGAGGCAGCAGUGGGGAAUAUUGCACAAUGGGCGCAAGCCUGAUGCAGCGACGCCGCGUGAGGGAUGACGGCCUUCGGGUUGUAAACCUCUUUCAGUAGGGAAGGAGCCGCAAGGUGACGGUACCUGCAGAGGAAGCGCCGGCUAACUACGUGCCAGCAGCCGCGGUAAUACGUAGGGCGCAAGCGUUAUCCGGAAUUAUUGGGCGUAAAGAGCUCGUAGGCGGUUUGUCGCGUCUGCCGUGAAAGUCCGGGGCUCAACUCCGGAUCUGCGGUGGGUACGGGCAGACUAGAGUGAUGUAGGGGAGACUGGAAUUCCUGGUGUAGCGGUGAAAUGCGCAGAUAUCAGGAGGAACACCGAUGGCGAANGCAGGUCUCUGGGCAUUAACUGACGCUG
rnacentral:rRNA from 1 species